AGGGCAUCGCUGAAAUCUCUACUGUGAUCUUGUUCCAUAACUUGCCAGAGCAAGAAGAGUUUCCCCAAAGCAUUUUAGACAUCACCAAACAUCUCUAAGAGUUCUUCACCAAAUCCUUCUAGAGUUAAGAGCUUGAUCUUGGCAUGGGCCCCACUCCUGAGAUCUCAACAUUUGGGAGGCUGAAGCAGGAGAAAUACUUAGUGUUACAGGAGAACUUGAACUACAUAGUGAGUUCCAGGCUAAUCUGGGCUACAGCGAGGCCCUGUCUCAAAAUCAAACCAAAUCACCCAGCCGUUAAAACAGUUUGUGUUGAUGCGAAACUUUCCAACAUGAAAGAAUCCAGGACAUGCAGAAUCUUUCCAGUGUUGCUAACCAGAACCAGGUGGAUCUAAGCAACCACGCAGCAUGGAGAUAUCAGAGAGGAUCUUGUGACUUGAGCUUUAGCCACGUUGAUGCAAUGGGAUGCAGUAGGACCCCAGGCAGAAGGAAGAGCACAAUCUGGGGCAAGAGAGAAGCUUCGGAACUG